GUUUGAUUACCGUUGACAAGGAGGCGUGGAUCAAUUAACUUAUUGUGGUAAUAUCGAGUCCGUCGAUCUUAUUUAGUUUUUUUAGGAUUUUUUUUUGGAAUUGAUUGAACUAAAUAUUUCCUAGGAUUUGUACUAGUUUAUUUUUCUUCUAAUUAAUUUAAGGCUUUCUUAUGGCACCUUUGUGAGAGUUUAUUUAUUUAGCUAACUAAGCUAAUUUUUGCUAUCAACUUUUAAUUUCUUUUUAGUUUUAAAAUAAUUUGUUUCGUUUUGUUAUUUAAUAUUUGUGUGCACAGAUAUAUCACAAAAUAGCAACCAGAGUAUCGAUGAUGUAGGAUUUUUUACGUGUUUUAUUUUUGGCCAGGUCUUUAUGCAUUUUCAUCUAAUAAAUGCCAACAUUUGUUUAUGCAUUGCUUAACUAUUUAACAUUUGGAAAGACUUAUCACUCUCUCUUUAUGACACUUGGGGAAUUUUCAAAAAAUAUAAAUAUAUAUUUUGAUUUGUGCUUUGGCCGUUGGAAUUCACGUGGAAAUGCCGAAAAGUUUGGGAGAUUUCUUUGAGCGCCAGGCACAGUCUCAGUGUUCAGAAUUCAGUAUUCGCGCAGCGAGCGAAGAACGCAGAAUAAUAAGCAAAACAACAAACGCGGGGCGCCAAAGCCGAAAUUCAGAAGCAGAAAAUCGCAAGUUUCAGUCAGCUGUUCGGCUUUUUAUUUGGCCAAGUAGCUACGACAUAGUGAACGGUUGGUCAGAAGCUUUGCACUGCUUGCAAGCAGUGUGGAGGCAAGCUUUUGUGUGACGGCGCACAAAAGCAAUUGGCUCAGCUUGAUGGCGAACAUUUAACCAAAUGGGAAACUAUCAGAUUGUGGCCUCCAAAAA